UUAAGCGACUAAGCGUACACGGUGGAUGCCCUGGCAGUCAGAGGCGAUGAAGGACGUGCUAAUCUGCGAUAAGCGUCGGUAAGGUGAUAUGAACCGUUAUAACCGGCGAUUUCCGAAUGGGGAAACCCAGUGUGUUUCGACACACUAUCAUUAACUGAAUCCAUAGGUUAAUGAGGCGAACCGGGGGAACUGAAACAUCUAAGUACCCCGAGGAAAAGAAAUCAACCGAGAUUCCCCCAGUAGCGGCGAGCGAACGGGGAGCAGCCCAGAGCCUGAAUCAGUGUGUGUGUUAGUGGAAGCGUCUGGAAAGGCGCGCGAUACAGGGUGACAGCCCCGUACACAAAAAUGCACAUGCUGUGAGCUCGAUGAGUAGGGCGGGACACGUGGUAUCCUGUCUGAAUAUGGGGGGACCAUCCUCCAAGGCUAAAUACUCCUGACUGACCGAUAGUGAACCAGUACCGUGAGGGAAAGGCGAAAAGAACCCCGGCGAGGGGAGUGAAAAAGAACCUGAAACCGUGUACGUACAAGCAGUGGGAGCCUCUUUUAUGGGGUGACUGCGUACCUUUUGUAUAAUGGGUCAGCGACUUAUAUUCUGUAGCAAGGUUAACCGAAUAGGGGAGCCGAAGGGAAACCGAGUCUUAACUGGGCGUUAAGUUGCAGGGUAUAGACCCGAAACCCGGUGAUCUAGCCAUGGGCAGGUUGAAGGUUGGGUAACACUAACUGGAGGACCGAACCGACUAAUGUUGAAAAAUUAGCGGAUGACUUGUGGCUGGGGGUGAAAGGCCAAUCAAACCGGGAGAUAGCUGGUUCUCCCCGAAAGCUAUUUAGGUAGCGCCUCGUGAAUUCAUCUCCGGGGGUAGAGCACUGUUUCGGCAAGGGGGUCAUCCCGACUUACCAACCCGAUGCAAACUGCGAAUACCGGAGAAUGUUAUCACGGGAGACACACGGCGGGUGCUAACGUCCGUCGUGAAGAGGGAAACAACCCAGACCGCCAGCUAAGGUCCCAAAGUCAUGGUUAAGUGGGAAACGAUGUGGGAAGGCCCAGACAGCCAGGAUGUUGGCUUAGAAGCAGCCAUCAUUUAAAGAAAGCGUAAUAGCUCACUGGUCGAGUCGGCCUGCGCGGAAGAUGUAACGGGGCUAAACCAUGCACCGAAGCUGCGGCAGCGACGCUUAUGCGUUGUUGGGUAGGGGAGCGUUCUGUAAGCCUGUGAAGGUGUGCUGUGAGGCAUGCUGGAGGUAUCAGAAGUGCGAAUGCUGACAUAAGUAACGAUAAAGCGGGUGAAAAGCCCGCUCGCCGGAAGACCAAGGGUUCCUGUCCAACGUUAAUCGGGGCAGGGUGAGUCGACCCCUAAGGCGAGGCCGAAAGGCGUAGUCGAUGGGAAACAGGUUAAUAUUCCUGUACUUGGUGUUACUGCGAAGGGGGGACGGAGAAGGCUAUGUUGGCCGGGCGACGGUUGUCCCGGUUUAAGCGUGUAGGCUGGUUUUCCAGGCAAAUCCGGAAAAUCAAGGCUGAGGCGUGAUGACGAGGCACUACGGUGCUGAAGCAACAAAUGCCCUGCUUCCAGGAAAAGCCUCUAAGCAUCAGGUAACAUCAAAUCGUACCCCAAACCGACACAGGUGGUCAGGUAGAGAAUACCAAGGCGCUUGAGAGAACUCGGGUGAAGGAACUAGGCAAAAUGGUGCCGUAACUUCGGGAGAAGGCACGCUGAUAUGUAGGUGAAGCGACUUGCUCGUGGAGCUGAAAUCAGUCGAAGAUACCAGCUGGCUGCAACUGUUUAUUAAAAACACAGCACUGUGCAAACACGAAAGUGGACGUAUACGGUGUGACGCCUGCCCGGUGCCGGAAGGUUAAUUGAUGGGGUUAGCGCAAGCGAAGCUCUUGAUCGAAGCCCCGGUAAACGGCGGCCGUAACUAUAACGGUCCUAAGGUAGCGAAAUUCCUUGUCGGGUAAGUUCCGACCUGCACGAAUGGCGUAAUGAUGGCCAGGCUGUCUCCACCCGAGACUCAGUGAAAUUGAACUCGCUGUGAAGAUGCAGUGUACCCGCGGCAAGACGGAAAGACCCCGUGAACCUUUACUAUAGCUUGACACUGAACAUUGAGCCUUGAUGUGUAGGAUAGGUGGGAGGCUUUGAAGUGUGGACGCCAGUCUGCAUGGAGCCGACCUUGAAAUACCACCCUUUAAUGUUUGAUGUUCUAACGUUGACCCGUGAUCCGGGUUGCGGACAGUGUCUGGUGGGUAGUUUGACUGGGGCGGUCUCCUCCUAAAGAGUAACGGAGGAGCACGAAGGUUGGCUAAUCCUGGUCGGACAUCAGGAGGUUAGUGCAAUGGCAUAAGCCAGCUUGACUGCGAGCGUGACGGCGCGAGCAGGUGCGAAAGCAGGUCAUAGUGAUCCGGUGGUUCUGAAUGGAAGGGCCAUCGCUCAACGGAUAAAAGGUACUCCGGGGAUAACAGGCUGAUACCGCCCAAGAGUUCAUAUCGACGGCGGUGUUUGGCACCUCGAUGUCGGCUCAUCACAUCCUGGGGCUGAAGUAGGUCCCAAGGGUAUGGCUGUUCGCCAUUUAAAGUGGUACGCGAGCUGGGUUUAGAACGUCGUGAGACAGUUCGGUCCCUAUCUGCCGUGGGCGCUGGAGAACUGAGGGGGGCUGCUCCUAGUACGAGAGGACCGGAGUGGACGCAUCACUGGUGUUCGGGUUGUCAUGCCAAUGGCACUGCCCGGUAGCUAAAUGCGGAAGAGAUAAGUGCUGAAAGCAUCUAAGCACGAAACUUGCCCCGAGAUGAGUUCUCCCUGACUCCUUGAGAGUCCUGAAGGAACGUUGAAGACGACGACGUUGAUAGGCCGGGUGUGUAAGCGCAGCGAUGCGUUGAGCUAACCGGUACUAAUGAACCGUGAGGCUUAACCUU
rnacentral:rRNA from 1 species